rnacentral:lncRNA from 1 species
AUACUUUAUAACUAUUUGAAGAGUAUUCAAAUACCUAAGGUGUAAUAGAUAGGUUAUAUUUUCCUUUUCACAAAAAAUUGUAAUUAGAUAGACAAUUAUAAUAAAUAGAUUAGAUAGGUUUAUCUUCCAUAUUUCCCCAUUUUAUAUUGUAGUUAGGUCACUCUAAUUGUAAUUGAUAGGUUAGAUAUGUUUUUUUUUUCUCUUGUGCUCCCCUAUUUUAGAUUGUAA